rnacentral:rRNA from 1 species
CAGUAGCCGCGGUAAUACGUAGGUGGCAAGCGUUGUCCGGAAUUAUUGGGCGUAAAGGGCUCGCAGGCGGUUUCUUAAGUCUGAUGUGAAAGCCCCCGGCUCAACCGGAGAGGGUCAUUGGAAACUGGGAAACUUGAGUGCAGAAGAGGAGAGUGGAAUUCCACGUGUAGCGGUGAAAUGCGUAGAGAUGUGGAGGAACACCAGUGGCGAAGGCGACUCUCUGGUCUGUAACUGACGCUGAGGAGCGAAAGCGUGGGGAGCGAACAGGAUUAGAUACCCCUGUAGUCCCUGUCUCUUAUAC